rnacentral:ncRNA from 1 species
ACCGUCUCAAAGGGGUGCUUUAAAUAUUUUAAAAUUUUAAGGCUGAGAUUAUACCCGUGGAACCUAGAACAGAUAAUGCUGUUUAGGGAAUUAAAAAACUAAAUACU